rnacentral:lncRNA from 1 species
GGAGAGGUCUUACCAUACACCUGCUGACUUGCUGAUUGGUUGGGAAGGGAGGGGGUCUUCUGAUACACCUGCUGGUUGGUUGGCUGCGUGUAAGUCCCCUAUAGGGGUGGGGUAAGAAGUGGGUCACUUACCUAUCCCGGAAGGGGUAGGAAGGAGUGGGCCAAGUUGCUGGGGCAGGGAGGUCCUCAGGAACAUUGUAACAAUUACAGUGAGACAGGUGGGAUGGUAAGGGUCUGGUAAUUCUUAUCUCAGCCAGAGGCUUUUUGAGUUUGAUCUCCAUUGAGAGGCCUUGAGAAGCUGGGGCCCUGAGGGUAGAACCGGGCAUCAGGAUGUCUUUAUCUCUCCAGAUGAGUUUGAGGACCACAGAAUGAGGGAGGCAAAAAUCAAGAACAUGUGGAGAUGGAUAGGGACUUAUACUGCCUGUAGGAAAAGGUGGGUGUGAAGGGGAUACCAGAAAACCAGUAGCGCCUCCACACCACAGCUCCAGGCCUGAGUGGGUCAGCUUCUUCCUGGUACCUCCUGUUUGGAGGUGCCGGGGGUUCUCUGAGUUCUCUUUCCUUCUAGUUGGGCCUUUACCCAGCUGGUCCACAGAAGGCACAGUCCUUUGACAGUGAAAGGAGAGAGAAUUUGCAGUUUUUCUCUCCAGCUCUUCAAAUCAUCAAUUUUGGUCACAGAUCAGGUUGCUGAAUCUUGACACAUCUGAAACUCAGACUUUGACGUGCUUGUUUUUCUUCCCCCGUCUGACUCACAGGAUGAGUCAUAGCGAACCUUGUUCAGCUCCCCUGGACCAGGGGAAGCAAGGGCAGAGGAGCGGGCUUCCUCUCCCUGGGAGGGUUGGGCUGAGGCUGAAUCCCCAUCUACCUUUUCAGCUUCCAGUCCUGCCUGCUGCCUUCAAGACUUAUUCCUGUGCCUCCUCCAGCAGAAAUGAUGAUGCAAACAAUUUCAUUUAGCCUGAACAAGCAAUAAGGUCCUGCUGUACAACAUAGGGAAUUAUAUCCAGUCUCUUGGGGUAGACCAUGAUGGAGAUAGUAUGAGAAAAAUAAUGUACAUGCAUGCAUGACUGAGUCACUUUGCUGUACAGCAGAAAUUGGUACAACACUGUAAAUCAUCUAUACUUAAAUAAAAAUAAAAUUUUAAAAAUUAAAAAAAUCCAUAACACUCAUAACUCUCACUCUGAAGGAAGCUUUGGAGUGAAGGGGAUGAUCCAACAAGAUAAGUGUCUUAGCAGCACAGAAUUCCAGGGCAGAGACACAUCUUGAUGUAAAGAAACACGUAGCUCUCCCUGCUCUUUCCCUGGGCAGGGAGAUGGGCAAACAUCUGGAAUGUUUUUGUGUAUUCCUGGCUCCUGGAAUUGAGGAGGGAAUGUGAAAUUCUCUGCUUUCUGAUGCUACCAGCCUCCCUUCCAGACCAUCAGAAUUUAUCUGAGCUCUGAUGACCCCCCUGAAUGGAUGGAUUUAUGAUGGAGCCCAGAGAAGCAAGGUGAUGGAGUGAACAUGUUGUACAUCCUGGCCUGUGCUGGAUGGCACCCACCCCACAUGCUGGGAUCUGACCCAGGCACAAACUGCCCAUCCAUUCUUUCAGUAACCAUCUACUGGGCAUAUGAGGCAGACUUGAUGGAAGACUCAGGCUGAGGCAUGCUUCCAGUCUGUAGGAGCUCACAGCCCAACAAAGGUGCAAAAUCCUCACAGGGCAUCGUGGAGGGGGCAUAACCAGGGCUACCCCAGGGUGCUGUGGGUGUGGAAAUGAGGGAGGUUAAUGCAAACUAUCUGGAGGCAGGAGAGCUCCUGGAAGACUGAGCUGGCAGGGACAUGAGCCUCAUCAAAGAGCUGGGGUGGGGGGCUGGGAGAAGUCAGUAGUUACAAAGGUUCAUGAUAUUGACCCUCUCCACCCAGAAAGAUGGAGUACGGGCAACGUCCAAAGGAGUGACCUUGUCACUGUAAUGGUAAGUGCGUUCUUGAGGCGUUGUGCAUAGGCUCUGGAAACUUCUCUUGCUCUUGUCCGGGCUCAUUGGGCCCUGGAAAGGCCCUCACUCACCUAGACCUCUCACCUCUGGGCCCAACUGUACUUGCUUCUUCCUGGCUCCCGGGUCCCCUCAGGACCUGCUGGCUCAAUGGAGUUUUUGGUCACUUUUCCAUUGGAUGACCACUCAGAAAGAAUUUCAUCUUUUUUCCUUUUUGCUCAGCAUAAGAAAGAGUUCCUGGCGCAUUUAGUAAAUGUUUAUUGAGGCGUUUCUGUGUGCCUGGCUCUGUGCUGGGCUGUGGAGAGAAGGGAAUGGAUUAGGCAGGCACACCAGCUACAGACUGCAGUAUAACAACAGAAGUGCUGUGAGCACAGAGGGGAGCAAAUGACUCUGCCCUGAGGGAAACCAAAGAAGUCUUCCUGGAGGAGAAGCUGUGGAACACAAGCCUGAGAGAAUGACUGAAGCUGACCAAGUAGAGACAGGAGAAAUGGUAACGCUAGGCAGAGGGGGUAAGAUGUUGCUGAAGGCACAGCAUGUAUGUUUGAAGAACAUCUUGUUUGGGGAAGGUGUUUACUGUGUGUGGAAUGGCAAGAAAUUUGGUGAAUUUCACUGAAAGGAGGAAAGUUAGCCUGGAGCCUUGAAUGAAGUAUCACUGAGUUUUAUUUCAUCCUAUUUUAGGCUAUUUUGACUUUCUACUCAAAGAACACAUGUCCAUCGUUUAAAGAGGGUCUUUUCUCAGCCCUUUCUACCCUCCCAACAUCCAUUCUCCAGAGACCACCACUUCAGUCUCUUCUUCUGGUAUUUGCCUCUCUAUUUCUAACUUGCAUGCUCACCUUGCUGCUCUUGAUUUUUCAGUCUUAGUAUCUACUGACUUCAUACUAUGAAAACUGAGGAUUAUACUUCCUUGUACACAGCUAGUGCCCCCAGACUUUCACAAGCAUACACACCUACACAUGCUCCCAUUUUCCCAAAAUGACUUAAUGAAUUAUGGCUACAUCAAUAUCUAGGGAUUGCAUUUUUAUACCUACAUGAGCUUUCUCAGUUGAGCCAUUUAAUACAUUACAAUUGCGUUUGUUUUCUUGUUCACCUAUGUUGUUCCUAGAGUUAAUCAUUGUUUAUAUUCUUUUCUUGCCCAGUUUCCUCUGUCCCUAUCACAAGUCAAUUCCAAAACUCUGGCAGAUAUAAAUCUCCUCCCAAGACAUCCAAACGUAUCCACUGCUGCUUUCACACUUUUUCCUUGGAGACAGCCUCCAGUCCCAUCUCCCUGCUGUAUGUGCUGCUUCUUAAGGAUGCUGCUCCAUUAUUGUCAGGAUUACGAUGUGGACAUGUGGGGGGAGGGGGAACUCUUCUGCCUAUGGCAGUGAAAUCUGUUCUACUUUCAGAGACUUAAAUGGUAAAUCCACCAGCCCCACCCUCAUCCCAUCCCCCUCUUUGUCAACCUACAACUUCUAGAAUAUGUAGCUGUAAAAAGUCAGCCUUGCAGCCUUGUUUUCUGGGUCACAAAGUACUUCAUCUCUCUUUUCAGGAGUCAGAAAUCAGUGUUCCCAUUUUACGAAGAGAAGAACAGAGACCUAGAGAAUAUUAACAUUUCAUGUAAAAUUCCAGAAGGCAAAUUCCAGUCUCAUCUCUAAGGCCGAUCUCUGCUUUCUACAUGUUAUGUGUGGGAGAUUCUUAUCCAGUUGAUCCUGGAUAAUGUGAUAGGUGAGGCAGGAUAUCAGAAUAAAGCGUUUCCUUGGAGUCUCUCAUCAGAGAAAAUUGCCACCUAAGCUUGCUCCUGGCACAGAUGGCCAUUAUCCAUUUACCAGUUUUACUUCCAUGAUUUACUUUUUUAUGGGCAUUUUACUCCUCAGUGAGAGAGAUUCAUGUGGUCAUAUGACUUUCACAGCCAUAAAUAUUGGAAGCCAGUGACAAAAUUUCCAUGAUGUCCCCCUACCCCCUCCCUGCCCAGUUCCAACACCUUCCAAGAGGGGCCUAUGGAGGGAGGGUCAGAGCCAGUUAAGAAUCAGCUGGAACAACCUUCUUCCCUUUAUUCUCAGAAAGCCACUUAUAAACACAUUUCAGACCUCUUGGUUUCUUUCAGGUCUUCUGAAGUUCAAGUUCAUCUUCAAGAGUGCUGCCAUCAAAGCUUCGCCAUUUUCAGUCAGAUUGCCAGCUUUGGCAAAAUAGAAAUAUGGUCGGUGUUGAUCCCUCUAGCUUCAUCACAUUAGAAAAUGAAGCCCAAGAGCCAAUGAUCUUAACAUCUAUAUGCUGAAACGUCAGAACUCUGAGAGCAAGGGGAAAAAACUUGACAGGAAACUCUUGGGGAACUCCCUGUCGUAGCUCAGUGGAAGUAAAUCUGAAUAGUAUCCUUGAGGACGCAGGUUCAAUCCCUGGCCUCGCUUGUUUGAUUAAGGAUCUGGUGUUGCUGUGAGCUGUGGUGUAGUUCACAGAUAAGGCUUGGAUCCAGCAUUGCUGUGGUUGUGGUGUAGGCUGGAAGCUGUAGUUCCAAUUAGACCCCUAGCCAGGGAACUUCCACAUGCCAUAGGUGUGGCCCNAAAAAAAAAAAAAAAAAAAAAAAAAAAAAAAAA